GACGAACGCUGGCGGCGUGCUUAACACAUGCAAGUCGAGCGGUAAGGCCCUUUCGGGGGUACACGAGCGGCGAACGGGUGAGUAACACGUGGGUGACCUGCCCUCAGCUCUGGGAUAAGCCUGGGAAACCGGGUCUAAUACUGGAUAUGACUCCAUGACGCAUGUUGUGGGGUGGAAAGCCUUGUGCGGCUGAGGAUGGGCCCGCGGCCUAUCAGCUUGUUGGUGGGGUGANGGCCUACCAAGGCGACGACGGGUAGCCGGCCUGAGAGGGCGACCGGCCACACUGGGACUGAGACACGGCCCAGACUCCUACGGGAGGCAGCAGUGGGGAAUCUUGCGCAAUGGGCGAAAGCCUGACGCAGCGACGCCGCGUGAGGGAUGACGGCCUGGUGUA
rnacentral:rRNA from 1 species